CAGGUCAAAAUACUCAUCGCUGGUGAUGACUCGGGCUGGCAGCGGAAUGCGACGCCUCACCUUCUCCUUCCUCUCCAGGGCUGGGCUCAUUAGAACGUUAGCCAGACUCUCUGGUAUUACACCUGCUGCCACCAGGUAAUUUUUGUGACCCACUUUAUUAAUAUUACAGGUGGGGCAAGGAGUUAUGACUGAUAUGUCAGUAGGUGAUGUGAUGGAUGGUGUGGUGGGAGCGAUGGAUGGUGUGAUUGAGGGAGUGGCGGCAGCGCUGGAUUGUGUGGCAUCACUUCCAUCUACAGAUGGAAGCACUCUCACCACCUAAGAAGAUAAAAACAGCCCUGGACAGAGGAAAAAUGCCAGCCUUGCGAAACCCGGCCUUAAUGUUUUGGGCUGUGACAGCAGUGGGAUACACAUGUUUGAGGAGAUCUGAAAACUGCUUCUUCCCCACAACAAUGUCCCCUCGCACCAGACCCAUCCUGGAAGCCAUGGUGGAGAAAGCAGUCUUCAGUGGGUUGAAGACCGCAAUAGUAUGUGCAAGGGGCUGUAGUUUGUGCGUGGUGUGGGCAGGUAGGCAGAGAAUUUCAAUAUUCUUUUCUCUGCAGAACAUGAUUACUUCUUUAGAUACGUGUGUCUCGUGUUGGUCCAUGAUUAAAAUUAGUGGUCUCUCCUCAGCACAUAUCUAAUGAAAUGGUGGAGCAUCUUCAGGAAGAGCUCGGAGUCCAUGUAACCCUUCUCCUGGAUGCCAUAGAGGGCGUUGGGGGGCCCAUCCAGCCUAUAGGCAUUACUUGGGAGGCAUUCACACAGCAGUGGACAGUGAUGUGCUCCCUGGUUGUCUGCUGCUGUUGGUAAACAUGUUUCCUUCCAGUCUGGCACAGGACCUACUCCCUGGACCGAGGCUUGUCUCCAAAGCCAGUCUCAUCGCAAUUAUAAAUGAGACGAGGCUUGUUCUGAAGGUUAUGCUUUUCAUAAAGGGCCUCGUACAGCCUGAAGAAAUCCUCAAUGGCCUCCGGUGUAGCACCAUGGACUCUGGCUCUGUCCAGGGAAUCUGCCGUCCUUGAGGCCAAUUCUGGAUGGCGGGCCUUAAACCUGGACCACCACACAUCACUUGGCCCCUUCUCCAGGUUAACGGUGGUGGUCUCGCUUCUGCCACUCUCUUUAAUAAUCCCAACAGCCAGAACUUUGACCAGGGAUCUUGUCACUGGGAAGCCAUGGUCUGCCAUCCAAAAUAUAAAGGACAGGAGAGCCUCUUCCUCUCCAGGUGUCAGGGCUGAAUUAGGAUGAGGGUUGUGGACAUAUUUGUUGUUGAGGGUUGUGGACAUAUUCUGUAGGGUGGUGUGGGGAAUGCCAAAUUUUUUUGCUGUUUCUCUUAAGCUUGCCCCUGCCUUUACUUCCUCAACUGCCUCGUUUAACUUCUCCUUUGAAUACAGUUUUUUCUUGCCUGACAUCUUUCUUUCUUUUGGUUUACUGACUUUCCUUUUGAAAUAUAAUAUUAUGUUAAUCAUGUAACAUAGUUGUUAACCUUAACUUCAAAUUGUUUAUUCACAAAGUUUUGUAUCUGUUAACUUGAUGUAUUAAAACUUAUUAAAAGCUUAAAUCUCUGAAUAUCCUAUCAUUGUGUUUAACUUUUACUUUAGGUUAACGUUAAUGUUAAGUUUAACUUAAUGAAAAUUUGUCAAUGAAAUAACACAAUCAAUUGAAUAUUAGUUAGUUUAAUUUAUUAAAGCAUGACAAUUAAAUGUUAAAACAACACAUUCAUGUAAGUUUAUGUUAACUUACUUGAUCCUUUAUGAAUAUAAACAUCACUGCGCGCAGGACGAUGGGCAAACAGUGUCUUUUCUCUGCCUCAGGCGGAGAGUGGCGCCAAGUGGUCAUCACCCACAAUUGUCGUUUAAAUAUUCCCAUUUCAAAGCAUUUAUUCAACAAAAGGUAAUUUAUUUAUCAAUUUGUAAUAACCUAAUAUUUGUUUCAUAAAGACUGUAAUACUGUGAGAAGCAUAAAUUAAAUCGAAAUGUACAUUUUCGCUGCUCUAGCUGUUUCCCCACCCAAGCGGCAGUCUCCCGUUUAGCUUGCCCACCGUCCAUUUUCAAGCGCAGUGGGCGAACCUAGCAAACUUACUGAAAUCUCACUGAAACAAAUGGUUGGAGGGUCUCUGUCGUGAUCGGGGAUGAAAGAGGGGAAAAUGAAGAUGACACAGAUAUAUAUUUUAUAUAUGACCCGGAAGUAUUUAUUCAGCAAUCGGCGGCAAAAGGCAAUCUGUACGGAACAUUGUUGUGUACGAAAAAUGGUUAGUCUACGUUACGCUUUGGAGAGAAACAGUUAGCUUCCCCACCCUGUCACGUUCGUCAGCAAUCGCUAAUGAUGUGCAAAGUUACACAGCCAUCCAAGUCACCAAAUAAUAAAGAACGAGUUUAUAGCUAACUGUAUGUGCAUAUUUCUCUAUAUUCUAUGAUUUAAUGCAUUUUAAUGUCAACGAUCCUCCACUUCACGUGGAACAUUCACCCUGCUUUGAUAACUCGCGCUGCUCAUUAGUAGCUCUCGCAUCAUUUCACGAGCCUCAUGCAGCCGCGUUUCUUAAAGGGCCAGUGUAACUUUAUGACAACAGAUGAGAAAGACAUGAAAACCAAUCUAUGUGCAGUACACUCAAACCAGGGUGUAAAGAAAAUACAUUUGAAUGUUUGGCAACAACUCUUCCACCUGGUUACAUAUUGUUAGACAAUUCUAAGAAUGAGAAUAAAAUGGUUAAUACAAUUCUUAGUGAGGAUAAAAAACGUACAUCUGAUUCAGAUGGUUCUUCAGGUUCUAACUCAUAUGUACUCUGUGCAUAUAAUCAUUUUCAGUAUAACUAUCAGACAGCAUCUACUGCAAAAUCCCCAGCUGUGAUCACAUGCAUCUCCAAUUGCUCAGGGUCCGUAGCAAUUGUCUGUACUGGAUUGGCUAUUUGCAGCAUUGCUUUGUAGGUAUCUCUUAUGGUGAGUGCUGUAAUAGAACGCAUAAUAGAAGUGCUAAUACAUUGCAUCACACAGGGUGCUAUUAGUAGGAAAAUAAAUAUGAGUAAAACCACAGGUAUAACAGUAUGUAGAAUCCAGGUUCCCAAUCUGCCCCAUAGGCCACUGAGCCAGUUCAGCCAGGAAUCAGUCCUCGUGGGGUCUGGAAUGGAUACUUUCAUGUGGUCUACGAUGUUUGUAAUGUUGUCUGGAAUAUAGAAACAACAAGAUACUCCUAAAAUUUUACAAACUCCUCCCAACUGCGAGGUAAAAAGGUCAAGGACAAGUCUAUCUAUGGAAACUAUCUAUGAACCAUCCCACAUUUUCCCAUGGGAUUGUCCAAGGCGUAGCUGUCUUAUAUCCAUUGUACCAACACAGCAAAAUCCCCAGUGUUAAUUUAACACUCUGAGUGUGGACACAUAUAAACAUUGAAGCAGAGUUGAAGUUAAUGAGAUAAUUAAGAAGUUAAUUGAGUUAUAAUUGACCAUUAUUGAAGACACCUGAUGUUAACAAGCAGAGUCACGAACUGAGAAAAAUCACAAUUUGUGUGUCACCAUUAUAGUGGUCAGUGUUUGCUUUAAUUGGGAUCUUGACCCUUCAGUUAUUAACUUCCUAUUUUGUGUGGCCGUGGUAACUGAGUUAUAACAUACAGACAGACCAGAGCCAAUGCAAUCUUACGGAUUUGAUUGUGGUUUGAACUAAUUGCAUUUUUUUACCAUAAUAUUACGUUUUUAAAAGUUAGUUCUACAUAAAGAAGGAAUUAUUUAGUUUAGACACACAGACAUCAAGAAUCAGCGUGAGCAUCAAAACAAUGGUGACCAUCAAUAAAGCAUGUUGUAGUCAAUAACAACUCAUCCAUGGCUCCCAUCAUCCACAGCUGAACUGUCUUUUUAACUUUUUAUUUUAACUAUAUUUUAUUUUUGCCGUUUUUAUGUGCAUUUUUAGUAUCUAGUUUUGUGAUGUGCAGAGUAGAUCUGUUUAUCUAAAUAUGUUGUUUGUCACCAUUGUUGAGAUUCAUAUGCUGAUUCUUGUUAUCUGUGUGUGCCUUAAGUUGAGAGUAAACACUCUAAGCUCUGCAUUAUACCCACUGCAUAACAUUAAAGAAUGUUUAUUUUUGUUGGUUAUUAAUGUGGUAAAUAUUACAUUGUGUCUAAAGAGACAUUGCAUAGUUACAAUUAAUGUGUGUGAAGUCUCUUAGGUUUGUUAAAUAUAAAAAUGCAAAAAAUACAGUAAUGUUAGUGUUUUAUUUUCAAGCUGCAUUGGAACUAUUAUAAUAUUGAAGGCAACCCUUUAUUAUUUUCAAUUAAACAUUAUGGACAAUUAAACAUUUUUUCAGAUAAUAUUUUGUUUAACAGGCUUGAGACUGUCCAUCUUAGCAGCUGCAAAACAUGACAUGAAAAAUUUGAAAUACAUACAUCAGAAAACCCUCAAGCACAGGGUCAAAAGUCAGCAGCUAACAUUAUACCUUUU
ensembl:lncRNA